UUAAAAAGAUGUUUAAAAAUUCAUUCAACUAAAUAUACUUACUGAAAAUUCAUAACAAGGUACACAAGUUGCAGGUGCCCAUCAAAAGCGAUGGUGAAUCCCUCUUAAAACUGUUUAAAUUCAUGAAUUCCAUUUUGUUCCUUGUACCUUUCUUUCCAUCUUCUUUAGCCAAAAAGACAUGCAAACAUUGUCCCUGCUAGGCUAGUUAGACUCUGUUUCGGAGGAAGCAGAGAAACAAUGAAAAGAAAAUUAUGUCCUCUCUUCUCUUUUCCAAACGU
rnacentral:misc_RNA from 1 species